GCCGUUGACUGAUAUUAGUCAGAUGUUCACAUACAGCCAGGGACAGAGUCACUACUGGUUUCCUGAAAACCUUACAUUAAAGACAAGGCUCCGGAAAGCCGCCGCUCCUGGCCAAGAAUUACACUUUUACACCCAGUUUACGUUUUGGGUUUUUGGGGUGAGCUUUAGGGGUGUCAAGCAGGCAGAUAUUUUUAGAUUUGGACAGGGCCAGGCUUCCCUGUUUAGUCUUUGUGCUAAGCUAAACAGCUGCUGGCUGUAGCUUCAAAUUUACUGUACAGACAUUAGUUUUAUUGAUUUCCUAAUCUAAGUCCCUGCAAGAAACUAUUCCCUUAAGGAGUUGUUUAUUUUUUAGUUUGCACUGA